CUUCGGGGACAUUGGUGACAGGUGGUGCAUGGUUGUCGUCAGCUCGUGUCGUGAGAUGUUGGGUUAAGUCCCGCAACGAGCGCAACCCUUGUCUUUAGUUGCCAUCUUUAAGUUGGGCACUCUAGAGAGACUGCCAGGGAUAACCUGGAGGAAGGUGGGGAUGACGUCAAAUCAUCAUGACCCUGAUGCUUAGGGCUACACACGUGCUACAAUGGGUAGUACAGAGGGUUGCCAAGCCGUAAGGUGGAGCUAAUCCCUUAAAGCUACUCUCAGUUCGGAUUGUAGGCUGAAACUCGCCUACAUGAAGCUGGAGUUACUAGUAAUCGCAGAUCAGAAUGCUGCGGUGAAUGCGUUCCCGGGUCUUGUACACACCGCCCGUCACACCACGGGAGUUGGAGACGCCCGAAGCCGAUUAUCUAACCUUUUGGAAGAAGUCGUCGAAGGUGGAAUCAAUAACUGGGGUGAAGUCGUAACAAGGUAGCCGUAUCGGAAGGUGCGGCUGGAUCACCUCCUUUCUAAGGA
rnacentral:rRNA from 1 species